UACGUAGGGGGCAAGCGUUGUCCGGAUUCAUUGGGCGUAAAGCGCGUGUAGGCGGCCAUGUAGGUCGGUUGUGAAAACUGGAGGCUCAACCUUCAGACGUCGACCGAAACCAUCUGGCUAGAGUCCGGGAGAGGAGAGUGGAAUUCCUGGUGUAGCGGUGAAAUGCGCAGAUAUCAGGAAGAACACCAGUGGCGAAAGCGGCUCUCUGGAACGGUACUGACGCUGAGACGCGAAAGCGUGGGGAGCGAACAGG
rnacentral:rRNA from 1 species